rnacentral:rRNA from 1 species
GACGAAUGCUGGCGGCGUGCUUAACACAUGCAAGUCGAACGGUGAAGCGCCUUCCUUUUUGGUGGGUGUGGAUGAGUGGCGAACGGGUGAGUAACACGUGAGUAACCUGCCCCCUUCUUCUGGAUAACCGCAUGAAAGUGUGGCUAAUACGGGAUAUUCUGGGUCUGUCGCAUGAUGGGUCUGGGAAAGAUAUUGUUUCGGUGGGGGAUGGGCUCGCGGCCUAUCAGCUUGUUGGUGGGGUGAUGGCCUACCAAGGCGGUGACGGGUAGCCGGCCUGAGAGGGUGGACGGUCGCACUGGGACUGAGACACGGCCCAGACUCCUACGGGAGGCAGCAGUGGGGAAUAUUGCACAAUGGGCGCAAGCCUGAUGCAGCGACGCCGCGUGAGGGAUGGAGGCCUUCGGGUUGUGAACCUCUUUCGCCAGUGAAGCAGGCCUGCCUCGUUUGUGGGUGGGUUGACGGUAGCUGGAUAAGAAGCGCCGGCUAACUACGUG